rnacentral:rRNA from 1 species
AUUGAACGCUGGCGGCAGGCUUAACACAUGCAAGUCGAGCGAGCGGCGGACGGGUGAGUAAUGUCUGGGAAACUGACUGAUGGAGGGGGAUAACUACUGGAAACGGUAGAUAAUACCGCAUAACAGCGGAUGUGCCCAGAUGGGAUUAGCUAGUAGGUGGGGUAAAGGCUCACCUAGGCGACGAUCCCUAGCUGGUCUGAGAGGAUGACCGGCCACACGGGAACUGAUACACGGUCAAGACUCCUACGGGAGGCAGCAGUGGGGAAUAUUGCACAAUGGGCGCAAUCCUGAUGCAGCCAUGCCGCGUGAAUGAAGAAGGCCUUCGGUUUGUAAAGUACUUUCAGCCGGGAGGCGUUACCCGCAGAAGAAGCCUCGGCUAACUCCGUGCCAGCAGCCGCGGUAAUAC